rnacentral:lncRNA from 1 species
GAAAUGAAGGAUAUUCUUUCCCAAUAUUCUUGUCCUUACACUUCCUAAUAGAAUGGGGUAGCAGAGCGUAAGAAUCGCAUCUUUUGGAUGUUGUUCGUGAAAGUGAAUCCUAGGUUCUUCGGUGUUAAGCAUGCUUAAUUUUUUUUUUAAAACCAUGGCUGAACCUGAUCGGGUUGCCUACGUACCCCCUUCACAAGGGGGAUCAAGCCACAAAUGCAGCGGAAAAAUCAAAUUAAAUAAUUUAAUUCGUGCAUGCUUACAAGAUCAAAUCUAGAAAUCAGCAUUGUAAGAACAUAUAGGAUUAUGCCGAAAUCGUUUAAAUAAUUAUGCUAAAAUUUUAUGCAUGAUUAACUAUCAAAUCUGAAAGGUAAACACUCUAUUCCGAUUAAUCUCCGAAUAUCCAUUGAAUGGAUUCUGGAGAUAACUCCGUGAGGAGCCCCAAAGGAGGGUAAAAUCUCGAAAAAUCGGACCUAGAUCCUGACUCCAAAAUAAAAGAUUAAUAUAGAAUUAAUACCUUUUAUGAUGGAAGAAACUUGUGGAUCU